GCGGCGAACGGGUGAGGAAUACAUGGGUAACCUACCCUAGAGUGGGGAAUAACUAGCCGAAAGGUUAGCUAAUACCGCGUACGCUCCUUGGACUUCGGUUCAGGGAGGAAAGCGCUACCGAGGGUAGCGCGCUCUUGGUUGGGCUCAUGUCCUAUCAGCUUGUUGGUGAGGUAACGGCUCACCAAGGCUUCGACGGGUAGCUGGUCUGAGAGGACGAUCAGCCACACUGGCACUGCGACACGGGCCAGACUCCUACGGGAGGCAGCAGUAAGGAAUAUUGCGCAAUGGGCGAAAGCCUGACGCAGCGACGCCGCGUGGGGGAUGAAGGUCUUCGGAUUGUAAACCCCUUUCGGGAGGGAAGAUGGAAUGGGGUAACCCAUUCGGACGGUACCUCCAGAAGCAGCCACGGCUAACUUCGUGCCAGCAGCCGCGGUAAUACGAAGGUGGCAAGCGUUAUUCGGAUUUACUGGGCGUACAGGGAGCGUAGGCGGUUCGGUAAGCCCUCUGUGAAAUCUUCAGGCUUAACCUGGAAAAGUCGGAGGGGACUGCUGGGCUAGAGGACGGGAGAGGAGCGCGGAAUUCCCGGUGUAGCGGUGAAAUGCGUAGAGAUCGGGAGGAAGGCCGGUGGCGAAGGCGGCGCUCUGGAACGUUCCUGACGCUGAGGCUCGAAAGCGUGGGGAGCAAACAGGAUUAGAUACCCUGGUAGUCCACGCCUUAAACUAUGAAUACUAAGUGUCGGCGGGUUACCGCCGGUGCCGCAGCUAACGCAUUAAGUAUUCCGCCUGGGAAGUACGGCCGCAAGGUUGAAA
rnacentral:rRNA from 1 species